GAUGAAGAACGUAGUGAAAUGCGAUAAGUAAUGUGAAUUGCAGAAUUCAGUGAAUCAUCGAAUCUUUGAACGCACCUUGCGCCCUUUGGCUAUUCCGAAGGGCAUGCCUGUUUGAGUAUCAUGAACACCUCAACUCUUUAUGGUUUUCCAUGAAGGGCUUGGACUUUGGGGGUCUUGCUAGCCUUUAGUCAGCUCCUCUCAAACGAAUCAGCUUUCCAGUGUUUGGCAGCGUCACAGGUGUGAUAACUAUCUACGCUUGUGGUUUUCUGCCAGGUAAUCCUCAGUGAUGGGGAUUCGCUGGGGCUUAUAAAUGUCUCUCCUCAGCGAAGACAGCUUUGUGAACGUUUGAUCUCAAAUCAGGUAGGACUACCCGCUGAACUUAAGCAUAUCAAUAAGCGGAGGA
rnacentral:misc_RNA from 1 species